GAUUUUAUGCCUAGGCCUAGUUAAAAGCUUCAUAUUUGGAUACUCAUUUUCUCUCUCUUUAACUUUUUAUUUUUUUAUUAAUUUUUUGUUGGAAUCCCUCGUUUUACAGACUCUAUUGGAGAUGCUCUCAUCUCACAAUCCCAAAAAAGCUUCUUUCUCUCUCGCUCUUCUUCCUUUUCUUCUGAUAGAGUGUAACGGACUUGAGUCUUAGAAGGGAUGGAAAUGAGAUAAGAAUUGAUAGGAGCAAUAGAGAGAUAAGCGGCGAAGAGUAAGGAAAUAGAUCUUAAUUCAUUGAUUGAGUAACCCUAAAAUGGAUCACUCUGCAAAUAGUACUAUUCUCAUAGAAACUACACACACUUUGUCUCAAACAAACUAAAAUGACAAGCAAUUCUUAUUCAAACGUCAAAGCCUCUGGUUGCUCUAGAGUCUAGUGCCUUCUUCCUCUGGCCCGUAAUCAGCCACUUUGAGCCAUUGUUCUCUUUUGCUGCGCUUGAGUACGAGUCAUUUUCUUCACAAAGGCCAGAUGUAUAACUAACUUAUCAUCUUUUCCAUAGUUUCAUAAAAAAAAAAAUCCCCAUAGAAGCAUGUAGACAGUGGAAGAAAAUCGGUUGAUAUCGUCAGUUGGAUGCAUACCCGAAAACGAUGGGGAUAGUUA
rnacentral:lncRNA from 1 species